UACGUAUGGUGCAAGCGUUAUCCGGAUUUACUGGGCGUAAAGGGAGCGCAGGCGGCGCGCCAAGUCUGAUGUGAAACCCCGGGGCUCAACCCCGGGCAUGCAUUGGAAACUGGCGGACUGGAGUGCCGGAGAGGUAAGCGGAAUUCCUAGUGUAGCGGUGAAAUGCGUAGAUAUUAGGAGGAACACCAGUGGCGAAGGCGGCUUACUGGACGGCAACUGACGCUGAGGCUCGAAAGCGUGGGGAGCAAACAGG
rnacentral:rRNA from 1 species